AUGCUCUGGUUUUUUCCUUGCCAAGGCCUUUUGACACGGGAUCAGCCAGAUCUCAUCUGGACUCCACAUACUUACUGGAAAUUUUGUCAAGAUCCUUCUCACAUACAUCAGACACACUGGUAUGGAUUACCUAUUAGUUGCCUAGCUGUACUAUCUCAGCAUGGCAGCCGUAAAAAUUGUCUAGACCGGCAACAAUUGCUCCAUAUCGGUACUUCUACCAAGAUGUUCCUGAGCCGCUCUACUUCUCUUCAAGCAGAGGACCCUUUUGGCUUGGCUAUUCUGGGCCUUCUUCUAUUCGUACCUGCUUCCGUUUCUGCCCCCGCCAUUAAAGCUUUCUGGUCCAGGCCUCAGGCACAGACCUAA